ACCAAGGAGUCUAACAUGUGCGCGAGCCGCGGGGCAGUACGAAACCCGUAAGGCGAAAUGAAGGUGAACGCCGGCGCGGUCCGGCGGAGGUUGGAUCCCGUCCCGUCGGGGCGGGCGCACUACCGGCCGAUCUUCUCCGCCCUGUCGGCGAGGUCGAGCGAGAGCGUGCAAGUCGGGACCCGAAAGAUGGUGAACUAUGCCUGAGGAGGUUGAAGCCAGAGGAAACUCUGGUGGAGGACCGUAGCGAUUCUGACGUGCAAAUCGAUCGUCAAAUUUGGGUAUAGGGGCGAAAGACUAAUCGAACCGUCUAGUAGCUGGUUCCCUUCGAAGUUUCCCUCAGGAUAGCUGGCGCUCCGUCGCAGUUUUAUCUGGUAAAGCGAAUGAUUAGAGGUCUUGGGGGCGAAACGCCCUCAACCUAUUCUCAAACUUUAAAUUGGUAAGAAGCCCGACUCGCUCGUUUGGAGCCGGGCAUGGAAUGCGAGUGCCAAGUGGGCCACUCUUGGUAAGCAGGACUGGCGAUGCGGGAUGAACCGAACGCCGGGUUAAGGCGCCCGACGCGACGCUCAUCAGAGCCCACAAAAGGUGUUGGUUGAUAUAGACAGCAGGACGGUGGCCAUGGAAGUCGGAAACCGCUAAGGAGUGUGUAACAA
rnacentral:ncRNA from 1 species